rnacentral:rRNA from 1 species
GGAAAGGUGAAAAGAACCCCGAACAGGGGAGUGAAAUAGAACCUGAAACCAUACGCUUACAACCUGUCGGAGCGGCUUCGUGCCGUGACGGCGUGCCUAUUGAAUAAUGAGCCUACGAGUUACUAAUCACUGGCAAGGUUAAGUGCACGGAUGCACGGAGCCGAAGCGAAAGCGAGUCUGAAUAGGGCGUUUAGUCAGUGGUUGUAGACGCGAAACCUUGCGAUCUACCCUUGAGCAGGUUGAAGGUUGGGUAAAACCAACUGGAGGACCGAACGAAUAAGCGUUGAAAAGCUUCUCGAUGACUUGAGGGUAGGGGUGAAAGGCUAAUCAAGCUGGGAAAUAGCUCGUACUCCCCGAAAUGCCUUUAGGGGCAGCGUUGUAAUUAAGAGUCUACUGGAGGUAGAGCUACUGAUUGGAUGCGGGGGCUUCACCGCCUACCAAAUCCUGACAAACUCCGAAUGCCAGUAGUAUGAUUUACAGCAGUGAGCGACCGGGUGCUAAUGUCCGGUUACGAGAGUGGAACAACACAGACCAGCAACUAAGGUCCCCAAGAGUAUACUAAGUUGAUCUAACGAUGUUUUGCUGCAGAGACAGCUAGGAUGUUAGCUUGGAAGCAGCUAUUCAUUCAAAGAGUGCGUAACAGCUCACUAGUCGAGCGGCAAAGCGUGGAUAAUAAACGGGCAUCAAGUAUACCACCGAAGUUCUGGGCACGAAAGUGCGGUAGGGGAGCAUUCCAUUCCGCGUUGAAGCCGAACCGUGAGGUUUGGUGGAGUGUAUGGAAAAGCAAAUGUAGGCAUGAGUAACGAUAAUGCGGGAGAGUAACCCGCACACCGCAAGACCAAGGUUUCCUGAUCAACGCUAAUCGGAUCAGGGUUAGUCGGGUCCUAAGGGUAAGCCGAACGGUGAUCUCGAUGGAUAAUCGGUUAAUAUUCCGAUACUGACAUAUACCUCGAUGGAGAGACGAAGGAACGUAAGUGCCGCCACCUGACGGAAUAGGUGGUUAAAGGGCUUAGGUAUAGGGGCAGAUUAAGAGUUAGUCCUUGCUGAAACCUGACAGUACAGAGAGCCUACGGGCAAUUUGAUAGUGCACCCAAGUCGACUUCCGAGAAAAUCUUCUAAGUUAUAGUAUAUGUCACCCGUACCGUAAACCGACACAGGUGGUCGAGGAGAGUAUCCUAAGGUGCUCGAGUGAAUCACGGUUAAGGAACUAGGCAAAUUAACCCCGUAACUUCGGGAAAAGGGGUCCCAUCGCGAGGUGGGCGCAGCGAAGAGGUCCAGGCGACUGUUUAUCAAAAACACAGGGCUCUGCAAAUUCGAAAGAAGACGUAUAGGGCCUGACACCUGCCCGGUGCUGGAAGGUUAAGAGGGGAUGUCAUCGCAAGAGAAGCAUUGAAUCGAAGCCCCAGUAAACGGCGGCCGUAACUAUAACGGUCCUAAGGUAGCGAAAUUCCUUGUCGGGUAAGUUCCGACCUGCACGAAUGGUGUAACGAUCUGGACACUGUCUCAACCGUGAGCUCGGUGAAAUUGUAGUCCCGGUGAUGAUGCCGGGUACCCGCAACGGGACGAAAAGACCCCGUGAACCUUUACUAUAGCUUAACGCUGAAUUUGGGUACACAAUGUGUAGGAUAGGCAGGAGACUACGAAGCGGGCACGCCAGUGUUCGUGGAGUCGACGUUGAAAUACUGCCCUUUGUGUACUUGAGUUCUAACCCUCGAGAGGGGACACCGUUUGGUGGGUAGUUUGACUGGGGUGGUCGCCUCCAAAAGAGUAACGGAGGCUUCCCAAGGUACCCUCAGCACGAAUGGUAACCGUGCGUAGAGUGCAAUAGCAUAAGGGUGCUUGACUGUGAGACCAACAAGUCGAUCAGGUGCGAAAGCAGGGUAUAGUGAUCCGGUGGUUCUGCGUGGACUGGCCAUCGCUCAAAGGAUAAAAGGUACUCCGGGGAUAACAGGCUGAUCGCCGCCAAGAGCUCAUAUCGACGCGGCGGUUUGGCACCUCGAUGUCGGCUCGUCACAUCCUGGGGCUGGAGAAGGUCCCAAGGGUU